rnacentral:rRNA from 1 species
GCUUAGGGCGGUUGCAAUAAAGAGGCCGGUGCGACUGUUUAACAAAAACACAGCUCUAUGCCAACUCGUAAGAGGAUGUAUAUGGAGUGACACGUGACCAAUGCCAAAAGGUCAAUGGGAGAGGUUAGCGCAAGCGAAGCUUCGAUCUGAAGCCCUGGUGAAUGUCGGCCGUAACUAUAACGGUCCUAAGGUAGCGAAAUUCCUUGUCGGGUAAGUUCCGACCUGCACGAAUCGUGUAACGAUGCCGGCACUGUCUCAACGUGGAUCUCGGCGAAGUUGUAAUUCCGGUGAAAAUGCCGGAUACCUGCGGAAGGACGGAAAGACCCCAUGAACCUUUACUGUAAUCUGAUAUUGGUAUUUGAUUGUUCUUGUGUAGCAUAGGUGGGAGGCUGUGAAGCCGCUACGCCAGUACCGGUGGAGCCACAGGUGAAAUACCACCCUGGUGCAAUUAGAUAUCUAACGGAGUCCCGUGAAUCCGGGCUCCGGACCGUGUCAGAGGGUCAGUUUGACUGGGGCGGUUUCCUCCUAAAUUGUAACGGAGGAGCCCGAAGGUACACUCAGCACGGUUGGCAAUCGUGUGAAGAGCGUAAGGGUAGAAGUGUGCUUUACUGUAAGACAGACAUGUCGAGCAGUUGCGAAAGCAGGGCCUAGUGAUCCAGCGAUGGAAUGUGGAAUCGUCGUUGCUCAACGGAUAAAAGGUACUCUGGGGAUAACAGGCUGAUAGCGCCCAAGCGUCCAUAGCGACGGCGCUGUUUGGCACCUCGAUGUCGACUCAUCACAUCCUGGGGCUGUAGAAGGUCCCAAGGGUUCGGCUGUUCGCCGAUUAAAGUGGUACGCGAGUUGGGUUCAGAACGUCGUGAGACAGUUCGGUCCUUAUCCUCCGCAGGCGCAGGAUAUUUGAUGGGAUCAUUCCUUAGUACGAGAGGACCGGGAAUGACUGACCUCUGGUGUUCCGGUUGUGGCGUCAGCUGCAUUGCCGGGUAGCUAUGUCGGGAACGGAUAAGCGCUGAAAGCAUCUAAGCGCCAAGCCCACCCAAAGACGAGAUAUCCCUCCCCGCAAGGGGCUGAAGGCCGGUCAAAGACUAUGACCUUGAUAGGAUGGCGGUGUAAGUACAGCAAUGUAUUCAGCUUACCAUUACUAAUCGGCCGUGAGGCUUAACCAC